rnacentral:rRNA from 1 species
AACAUGUCUUCUUGAAGAUAUAAGAAGUCUGACCUGCCCAGUGAAAAUGUUUAAACGGCCGCGGUACAUUGACCGUGCAAAGGUAGCAUAAUCAUUAGUCUUUUAAUAGGGGACUGGAAUGAAGGGUUCUACGAAAUACUAACUGUCUCAAAUUGAUAUAUUUUAAUUUGAUUUUUAAGUCAAAAAGCUUAAAUUUUAUUGAAGGACGAGAAGACCCUAUAGAGCUUAAUAGUUAAUAUUAAUAUUUAUUUAUUUUUAUUAUGUAAAUAUUAACUUUUUUGUUGGGGUGACAAUAAAUAUAUGAACAACUUUUUUAUUUAUAAUACAUUUAUUUAUGGUUAUUAGAUCCAUUAAUACUGAUUAUUAGAAUAAGUUACCUUAGGGAUAACAGCGUAAUCUUCCUUCAGAGUUCAUAUUUAUAGGGAGGGUUGCGACCUCGAUGUUGGAUUAAGAUUAUAGUUAGGUGUAGCAGCUUAAUGUAUAGGUCUGUUCGACCUUUAAAUUCUUACAUG